GGCCCUUUCCUUCGAUAUUAAGAUAUUAUCAGAUUCAUCACAAAAUUCACUGCACAACACAGAAGAACACGUUAUCCUCUCCUAACACAGUAACACUCCACCAUGUCAAUUACUCUCUCUCUUACCCACAAAACAAUAUCCAUAACACAACAAAUUCACUAAAUCGAACCAGUUGCAGAAGAUUCGUCAGGGUCUUCGUGCUGAUUCUGUGGUUCUGAUGGGUAAGAACCCCAUGAUGAAGGGGUCCUUCAGGAUUCAUGCUGAGAACACUGGCAACAAGACAUUUCUCAAUGUGAUCCCUCUACUUGGCAAUGUUGGGUUGAUCUUUACCAAGGGUGAUUGGAAGGAAGUGAGCGAAGAGGUCGCCAAGUACAUGGUGAAGUGGUCAAAAAAACACUCUUUUUUUGUCAAUUGAAGUAAAUAUGUCGUGGUUAAAAGUCAUCAUUUUUUUAUGUGAUUAUUUAACUUAUCUCUCUUAUAUUAAAUGAGUGGUAUUAUUAUGAUAAUUAUUUUAUAUUUUUAUGUAGACAAUUCUUGCUCAAAAAUGUUACUUUGCAUACUUUAUGUAAUUUCUGUUGUUAUUUUUAUAUAUAUAUUUAAAUAAUAAAAAUUAUUUUAUGGUACUAUGUAUUACGUUUUCUAAAAUAGGAUUGCAAUGUAAUUAUUGAUACUUGAUGGAUUGGGUUGUACUUUCUAAUUUGGUGGUCUAAUUGGGAGUAUGGUUUUAUAAGGUUGGAUUGUGGUUUUCCAUCUUAUUUGGUGUGAUUUAUUUCUAACCAUUGAUAUCUAAGUUUCCAUGAUAGGAAGAGAGACUUAGGUAUGUUUAUUUGUAGAAAAGUCGUCCCCUCUUGUUGCUGUUAUAUAUAUAUAAAGGUACUCUUAUUCAAUCCUAUCGUAUCGACAACUUUCAGAAGGGAUAAAGCGUUUUUCAGAUCUUUCAAAGGGCGAUAAGGAAUUCUCAAAGGUAUAUGUGCGUUAAUCAUCAAUCAGAUCUCUCAAAGGGCGAUAAGGAAUUCUCAAAGGUAUAUGUGCGUUAAUCAUUAAUCAGGUAUACCUUUGGGAGAAGAAAGUUUACUCAAACAAGUGGAAUCGGAAAAGAUUUUGUGCAUUUCGUGCUUGAAGAAACAAAAUAAUGUACUUUGUUGUAUGUCUCCUUAUCAAAGAGGAUUUUAAGUGUGAUGUUGUGGAACGUAUUAGUUGAUGGAAUGGUGGUGGAGUGGUGGUUCACCAUUUAAAGAAAACACCACGAGGCUAUGACAAUGGAUUGCAGGAGAACAAUAGUCUCUUACUUCCAAAUGCCAAAUCAUUCAUCACGGCCAUGAUUUACAUAUGUGCACACCGCCGGUUCAAUAUUUUCUUCAAAUUGUAUGUUCUUGGAUUGAUUAGUAAAUAUUUAGUUUGAUGUUGAAGGGCGUACUGAGUCUAUCACAAAAACAAUUUUUUUUAUUAUUAUUAUUAUUUUUUUCCCAUGGUCAAUUUUAGUCUAGUACAAAUUUAUUUUUUUGGGAGAAAAGUUCACGUGGAAUCGGACAAGAUUUUCAAUCAUGAAUAAUGAAGAUGCUAGAAAGUAGUUAGUUUUUCUUGA